GCAGACACAUUCCAGCCAAUCAGCAGCAGACCCUCCCUCCCAGACCCUCCCACCUCCUGGACAGCAUCCAUUUCACAUUCAUUGUAAACCUGCAUUCUUAGUGAGCUGUCCAGGAGGUGGGAGGGUCUGGGAGGGAGGGUCUGCUGCGGAUUGGCUGGAAUGUGUCUG
rnacentral:miRNA from 1 species